AUAAAACUAUUUUUUGUUUUCUACUUUACAGACAGUCUCAAGAUCCUAUGCAGAUUUCAACUUCUCUAACUAACUUCUCCUAUUGGGAUAUUCAAAGCUGGACCUUGAUCCUAGUUCUCAUCUCUAAAUACCCUCUCCUUAAGUGAUAUCUAGCUGCAUAUCUUUAAAAACAUAUUAACAUACAAUAGUAACCUCAGUACAUUUAUAUCUGCUUAUAUCUGUUCUUUGAACCUCUCCUCUGAACUCUAGACUCAUUUCUAACUGCCUACUUGGAAUCUCCACCUAUGUAAUGUAUUAGUUGUUAUAACACUAGCUGCUUUAACUUAUGAACCUUUCAUAUUUUUGUGGCUUAAUACACUAACACAAAAUUAUUUCUCAUUCACAUAAACAGUGAAGUUUGGAGGAUUCCAAAAGCAUCCUUCCUUCUGGUAAUGAGCCAUCCUAAGAAUGUGGAAUGGUGUCUCACUGUAGUUUUGAUUUGCAUUUCCCUAAUGAUUAAUGGAGUUUCAUUGCUUCAGCUCUUAUAUUCAGAUUUAUCUAUCCCAGACCUAUCCCAGCAUAAUUUAUUGCAGAGACUCUUUCUCUAUUGAAUUAUCUCGACAGCUUUGUAAAAAAUUAAUUGACAAUAAGGGUUUAUUUCAAGAUGUUCAUUUCUAUUCCAUUGAUCUAGGUCUGGACAUAUGCCAAUACCACACUGCCAUGUUUACUGUUGCUUUGAAUCAAACUUGA